rnacentral:rRNA from 1 species
CCUACGGGUGGCUGCAGUCGAGAAUCUUCGGCAAUGGGCGCAAGCCUGACCGAGCGACGCCGCGUGCGGGAUGAAGGCCUUCGGGUUGUAAACCGCUGUCGUAGGGGAGGAAGGUCUGGUGUAUAGCCAGGCUUGACCGAUCCUAGGAGGAAGGGCCGGCUAAUCUCGUGCCAGCAGCCGCGGUAAUACGAGAGGCCCAAACGUUAUUCGGAAUUACUGGGCUUAAAGAGUUCGUAGGCGGCAUGAAAAGCAGGGUGUGAAAGCCCUCGGCUCAACCGAGGAAUUGCGCUCUGAACUGUCGUGCUUGAGGAAUCUAGAGGUGAGCGGAACUGAUGGUGGAGCGGUGAAAUGCGUUGAUAUCAUCAGGAACACCGGAGGCGAAGGCGGCUCACUGGGGAUUUUCUGACGCUGAGGAACGAAAGCCAGGGGAGCGAACGGGA